UACGUAGGGUGCAAGCGUUGUCCGGAAUUAUUGGGCGUAAAGGGCUCGUAGGCGGUCCAUCGCGUCGGGAGUGAAAAGCUGGGGCUCAACCCCAGUCCUGCUUUCGAUACGGGUGGACUAGAGGUAUGCAGGGGAGAACGGAAUUCCUGGUGUAGCGGUGAAAUGCGCAGAUAUCAGGAGGAACACCGAUGGCGAAGGCAGGUCUCUGGGCCAUAACUGACGCUGAGAAGCGAAAGCAUGGGGAGCGAACAGG
rnacentral:rRNA from 1 species